rnacentral:rRNA from 1 species
UAGGGAAUCUUCGGCAAUGGGGGGAACCCUGAUCGAGCAACGCCGCGUGAGUGAAGAAGGUUUUCGGAUCGUAAAGCUCUGUUGUUAAGGAAGAACGAGUGUGAGAAUGGAAAGUCCAUACUGUGACGGUACUUAACCAGAAAGGGACGGCUAACUACGUGCCAGCAGCCGCGGUAAUACGUAGGCCCCGAGCGUUGUCCGGAUUUAUUGGUCGUAAAGCGAGCGCAGGCGGUUAGAUAAGUCUGAAGUUAAAGGCAGUGGCUCAACCAUUGUAGGCUUUGGAAACUGUUUAACUUGAUGGCAGAAGGGGAGAGUGGAAUUCCAUGUGUAGCGGUGAAAUGCGUAGAUAUAUGGAGGAACACCGGUGGCGAAAGCAGCUCUCUGGUCUGUAACUGACGCUGAGGCUCGAAAGCGUGGGGAGCUAACAGG